GACGAACGCUGGCGGCGUGCUUAACACAUGCAAGUCGAACGGAAAGGCCCUGCUUGCAGGGUACUCGAGUGGCGAACGGGUGAGUAACACGUGGGUGAUCUGCCCUGCACUUCGGGAUAAGCUUGGGAAACUGGGUCUAAUACCGGAUAGGACCGCACUUUAGUGUGUGUGGUGGAAAGUUUUUUCGGUGUAGGAUGAGCUCGCGGCCUAUCAGCUUGUUGGUGGGGUAAUGGCCUACCAAGGCGGCGACGGGUAGCCGGCCUGAGAGGGUGUACGGCCACAUGGGGACUGAGAUACGGCCCAGACUCCUACGGGAGGCAGCAGUGGGGAAUAUUGCACAAUGGGCGCAAGCCUGAUGCAGCGACGCCGCGUGGGGGAUGAAGGCCUUCGGGUUGUAAACUCCUUUCGCUAGGGACGAAGCUUUUUGUGACGGUACCUAGAUAAGAAGCACCGGCUAACUACG
rnacentral:rRNA from 1 species